UUUCAAUAAACUGUCUUUUAGAA
rnacentral:piRNA from 1 species